rnacentral:rRNA from 1 species
AUUGAACGCUGGCGGCAUGCCUUACACAUGCAAGUCGAACGGCAGCAUGGAGAGCUUGCUCUCUGAUGGCGAGUGGCGAACGGGUGAGUAAUGCAUCGGAACGUACCGUGUAAUGGGGGAUAACGUAGCGAAAGUUACGCUAAUACCGCAUACGACCUGAGGGUGAAAGCAGGGGAUCGCAAGACCUUGCGUUAUACGAGCGGCCGAUGUCAGAUUAGCUAGUUGGUAGGGUAAAGGCCUACCAAGGCGACGAUCUGUAGCGGGUCUGAGAGGAUGAUCCGCCACACUGGGACUGAGACACGGCCCAGACUCCUACGGGAGGCAGCAGUGGGGAAUUUUGGACAAUGGGGGCAACCCUGAUCCAGCCAUGCCGCGUGAGUGAAGAAGGCCUUCGGGUUGUAAAGCUCUUUCGGCCGGGAAGAAAUCGCACAGGCUAAUACUCUGUGUGGAUGACGGUACCGGCAUAAGAAGCACCGGCUAACUACGUGCCAGCCGCCGCCGUAA